GAUGAACGCUAGCGGGAGGCCUAACACAUGCAAGCCGAGCGGUAUUGUUUCUUCGGAAAUGAGAGAGCGGCGUACGGGUGCGUAACACGGGUGCAACCUGCCUUUAUCUGGGGGAUAGCCUUUCGAAAGGAAGAUUAAUACUCCAUAAUAUCUUGAACGGCAUCGGUUAAUAUUUAAAGCUCCGGCGGUAAGAGAUGGGCACGCGCAAGAUUAGCUAGUUGGUGAGGGAACGGCUCACCAAGGCGAUGAUCUUUAGGGGGCCUGAGAGGGGGAUCCCCCGCACUGGUACUGAGAAACGGACCAGACUCCUACGGGAGGCAGCAGUGAGGAAUAUUGGUCAAUGGGUGCAAGCCUGAACCAGCCAUCCCGCGUGAAGGACGACUGCCCUAUGGGUUGUAAACUUCUUUUGUAUAGGGAUAAACCUACCCUCGUGAGGGUAGCUGAAGGUACUAUACGAAUAAGCACCGGCUAACUCCGUGCCAGCAGCCGCCGUAACAC
rnacentral:rRNA from 1 species